AUGCCCUUAAAGGGCAUCGCUCUGAGAAGCCCUGCAGAAGAUCAGGAAGGUGUUCAGUCGGGACCCCAGGUUCACACGAACAAAGAGAGGCAGCUCACUGCAGUCCCGGCUCCAGAGAUCAUCAGUGACCAGACAAAGGGCAGGGACACGCUGGUCCAGAUUGAGAGAGGCUGGACUUUGGGCCUCCCGUGCAGCUGCAGGUGGGCCUGGGCAGGGGCUGGAGGGGGUGACAGGAGGUUUGUGUUCAAGGCUGUGUCACUGUGUUAUGUGUUCGGCGGAGGGACCUUUCUGACCGUCCUAGGUCAGCAAAAGUCUGCACCUUCAGUCACUCUGUUCCCACCCUCCUCUGAGGAGCUCGGCAACAACAAGGCCACACUGGUAUGUCUGGUCAGUGACUUCUACCCUGGAGCCGUGACAGUGGCCUGGAAGGAGAAUGGCAGCCCUGUGUCCCAGGGUGUGGAGACGACCAAGCCCUCCAAACAGAGCAACAACAAGUAUGCGGCCAGCAGCUACCUGAGCAUGUCAGCCAGCAAGUGGAAGUCUGCCAGCCAGUUCAGCUGCCACGUGACGCAUGAUGGCACCACUGUGGACAAGACAGUGGUCCCCUCGGAGUGUUCCUAGGACUCUGAGCCCUCACAUUCUGGGUCUCUGCUUACUCAGAUCUCCCAUUUGCCACCUCUCCACUGUACCCCUGGGACUGCCACCCCUGUCUGCUCAGACUGGGCUGGUUUCAAAGCCUCCCCAUUUCCACUUUUUCUCAAUAAAACCCUGGUCAUUUA